rnacentral:rRNA from 1 species
CACGUAGGGUGCGAGCGUUGUCCGGAAUUAUUGGGCGUAAAGAGCUCGUAGGCGGUGUGUCGCGUCGGCCGUGAAAACCUGCAGCUUAACUGUGGGCUUGCGGUCGAUACGGGCAUCACUGGAGUUCGGCAGGGGAGACUGGAAUUCCUGGUGUAGCGGUGAAAUGCGCAGAUAUCAGGAGGAACACCGGUGGCGAAGGCGGGU